UUCCGGUUGAUCCUGCCGGACCUGACUGCUAUCGGAUUGAUACUAAGCCAUGCGAGUCAUUGUAGCAAUACAAGGCAUACGGCUCAGUAACGCGUAGUCAACCUAACCUAUGGACGGGAAUAACCUCGGGAAACUGAGAAUAAUGCCCGAUAGUACACUAUACCUGGAAUGGUUUGUGUUCCAAAUGAUUUAUCGCCGUAGGAUGGGACUGCGGCCUAUCAGUUUGUUGGUGAGGUAAUGGCCCACCAAGACUAUUACAGGUACGGGCUCUGAGAGGAGUAGCCCGGAGAUGGGUACUGAGACACGGACCCAGGCCCUAUGGGGCGCAGCAGGCGAGAAAACUUUGCAAUGUGCGAAAGCACGACAAGGUUAAUCCGAGUGGUUUCUGCUAAAGGAACCUUUUGUUAGUCCUAGAAACACUAACGAAUAAGGGGUGGGCAAGUUCUGGUGUCAGCCGCCGCGGUAAAACCAGCACCUCAAGUGGUCAGGAUGAUUAUUGGGCCUAAAGCAUCCGUAGCCGGCUCUGUAAGUUUUCGGUUAAAUCUGUACGCUCAACGUA
rnacentral:rRNA from 1 species